CAAAAUUCAAACCAGUUUUAAAAUCUUCUUCUUCUCUCUCUCAAAUUCGAAUCUGUGACAACGAUGAAGAGCUGUAACCACCGGGUUUCAUUGUCUUUUUUAUGAAUUUCGAGAAUAAGACUGUUAGUUCCCGCCUUUUGAGUUGCUUCCUUCAGCACUUCAAAAUCGAUUGUUGCUUGAAAGAGAUCCCCCUGGAAAUGUCCAGGAACGAUGAUAUUGAAAACUGAACAAAUGUUUGGUGGAGCUCGAGAGAAGUGGCCUGAUAUUAUCCUAGAGGAAGAUGGUUCCAAGGAUGCCUUCCCAUUUGAAGAAAUGAAUCUAGCUGAUAUGUACUAUCAAUAGGCCGAUGUUGUAUUAUGUUUGGGGUAUCAAGUAACUAAAUACGCAAAAAAAAAAAGAUAACUAAAUAUGUAGUUAUGACUUCGGUUCAUGGAUUAUGACUGGUUGGAGUGUAAAUAAAUGAAUCUUUUAUGGGUGUAUUGAUAAUUUCUACUCUGUUCAGUUUACAAAUAACUCAUGUAUGCAAGUUGCCUCGAAGUGUCUCCCAGGUGGUGGCAAUGUUGUUAUUGUGAAUCUUCAGAAAACUCCAAAAGACAAGAAAGCAAGUCCGGUGAUCCAUGGAUAUAUAGACAAGGUGCAGUAUGUAAGUAAUCAAAUAAACAAAAAUCCAGAUUCAUUUUUUUAAUAACUGAAAACUUCAUACUUCUAUUUGUAAAAUAUUACUUGGAACUGGUGAUUGGUGGAAUCGUGGACCUUCUCAAUUUACGAAUUCACCCUUUUGUCAUAAUAGAUCUUCAAACAAUUAUUUUAUUGAUGUAUUGCAGUUGGAAAUAGGCAAAGUAAAGUUUGAUGAUAAUUUAGGAUGAUAGGGUUAGCUAUUUGCUGCAGUGUUCUAUUUAUUUGAACAAGUUAGAUUGAAGAAUUCUGUUGUUUUAUUUUGA